AUGGAGGAUCUCCCGGAGCCACUGCUUGCAGAUAUCAUCAACAGGAUUACCGUGUCGAGUGAUCUCAAUUCUCUUUGCCUCGUGUCAAAGCGGCUCUGUGCCGUCGAGGCGGAGCAUAGGGAUGCUAUCCGUGUUGGCUGUGGCGUUGACCCUACAACAGAAGCCUUGACAUCACUGUUCUCCCGGUUCUCCAAUUUGUGGAAAGUGGAGAUCAGUUACUCUGGUUGGACACCCAGUCAUGGGGACCAGGUGAACAACCAAGGCAUCCUUGUUCUAUCGCAUCAUUGCCCCUUGCUGUCUGAUGUCACCUUAAGCUUCUGUGCACACAUUGAUGAUGCUGGUCUUAGUUAUCUAGCUUACUGCAAAAAGUUGAGGUCCCUCAGGCUGAGCUUUGCACCAGCAAUAACUUCUACUGGGAUUUUCCGGGUGGCCGUUAGUUGCUGCUAUCUCUCUGUUCUCCACCUUGUUGACUGUAUAGCAAUAGAGAGCGUGGAGUGGCUGGAGUAUCUUGGGAGAUAUGGAUCAUUAAGGGAACUCGUUCUAAAGGAUUGUGAUGGAAUCAGUCAGUAUGACCUCCUAAAAUUUGGUCCAGGAUGGAGGAAGCUCCAAAGGUUUGACUUUGAGAUUAAUGGAACUUACUGGCUGAGUGAGCGCCCUGACCCCUCAUACGUGGUUGGCUACCCAUAUAGCUAUGACAUUUGUUGUGAUAAUUUGAAGGAUCUUAGGUUGGCUCAUAUUGUAACUAAGCCGGAAAUUGGACUCCGUUUUCUCCUAGGGAAGUGCAAAGCAUUGGAGACACUUUACCUGGAGUAUGUUAUUGGUCUAAAUGAGGAUGAGAUGAUUGCACUAUUCCAGAGGUGCUGCAACCUUAAAACCAUCUCACUUCGGCUCAUGCCUCUGCGCUGUGAAGAUCAUUGGUUUAGGACGGCAUUGACUGAUGACAGCCUAGAGGUCCUAGCUCUAAGCUGCCCUAUGCUUCAGGUUGUUGAGCUCACUUUCACAUUUUGUGAACCCUGUUAUCCUACUGAAAUAGGCUUCACACAGAAGGGUAUUGUGACGCUUAUCCAAUCAUGUCCGAUUCGUGCUCUUGUGCUAAAUGGUGCCAGCAUAUUUGAUGACGAGGGCAUGAAGGGCCUGUCAUCCACACAGUUCCUGGAGAAGCUCGAGCUCGUGGAUUGCUGCUCUAUAACUGAUACUGGUAUGUACCUCAUUGCUCAGGCUCCUUGUUUGAGUCACCUCACACUCCGGAAAUGUGGUAGUGUGACAGAUGAUGGGUUGGCUGCAUUGGCACAUUCACAGAAGUUGGAGUCACUGACCGUUAUAGGUUGCCGCUGGAUCUCUCAGGAGGGUGUGCAGGGUGCGGCCAAAUCAGUGUGCUACUCAUCGGAGACUGAAAGCCAUGACAGCCUAAAAGGAAUGAAUGUGUACAGGAAAAUACGUCAGUCGCCCUGA
rnacentral:rRNA from 1 species